CAGGGGGAAAAAAAAAAUCUAAAUCUAGUAGCCUUAGUCCAUAGCAUCUAUUGACAAUACUCCUGGUUCCAGAAACUCUCCCUCCUUGGCUUCCAUGAUAGCCCUAUCUUGGCCCUUAUUCAUCCAGCAUUUACUAAUUACCUGUAUGUGCCAGGCCUUGAGCUCGUUAUAUAUUAAUGAAACAAUCAUGAGGCAAAGUAUGGUUUAGUGGAGAAGACAAAAAACAGAUCUGAGAAAAGUACUAUGCUGUGUUACUAACAGGGGGAUGUACUUCAGUAGGACGGUUUGUUCUAUAAAGAUGCAGUACAUUAUUGCAGAACUUAUGUGAAAAUGCUUAAAAAACUGCUGGGCAUCUUCUAGGAAUUGAAAAGGAGUCUGGAGUGACUGGAGUACAAUGAGAAAUGGGAAAGCAGGGAAAAUGAGGGUAGUAAGGUCCAAGUCAUUUAGAACUUUGUAGGUUACAUACAGAACUUUAUAUUUUGAGAGUAAUGGGAAACCAGUAAAGGGUUAAUCACCCAAGUGGUAUAGCUUUUAUCUUUCAAAAUAGGGAGUUCUAUGAGAUUUUAAAAUUUAAAAAUAUUUUCUCUGGGGCUGGGGAUGUGGCUCAAGCGGUAGCGCGCUUGCCUGGCAUGUGUGCGGCCCGGGUUCGAUCCUCAGCACCACAUACAAACAAAGAUGUUGUGCCCGCCGAAAACUAAAAAAUAAAUAUUAAUAAAAAAAAAUAUUUUCUCUGUUCUUUGAUGAUUACUAAACUCCUGUAUCUUUUUUUAAAAAAUAUUUUUUAAUUAUAGGUGGAUGCAGUAUCUUUAUUUUAUUUUUAUGUGGUACUGAGGAUCGAACCCAGUGCUUCAUGAAUGGUAAGGGAGC
rnacentral:lncRNA from 1 species